rnacentral:rRNA from 1 species
UACAGAGGUCGUCAAGCGUUGUUCGGAUUCAUUGGGCGUAAAGGGUGCGUAGGCGACGCGGUAAGUCGGGUGUGAAAUCUCGGAGCUUAACUCCGGAACUGCAUUCGAUACCUGCCGUGCUUGAGGACUGGAGAGGAGACUGGAAUUACGGUGUAGCGGUGAAAUGCGUAGAUAUCGCAAGGAAGACCAGUGGCGAAGGCGGGUCUCGUGGACAGUCCUGACGCUGAGGCACGAAGGCCAGGGGAGCAAACGGG